UAGGGAAUCUUCCACAAUGGACGAAAGUCUGAUGGAGCAACGCCGCGUGAGUGAAGAAGGGUUUCGGCUCGUAAAACUCUGUUGUUAAAGAAGAACAUAUCUGAGAGUAACUGUUCAGGUAUUGACGGUAUUUAACCAGAAGGCCACGGCUAACUACGUACCAG
rnacentral:rRNA from 1 species